UAGUCUGGGAUACCACUUGGAAACAGGUGCUAAUACCGGAUAGAAAGCGGAUCGCAUGAUCAGCUUUUAAAAGGCGGCGUAAGCUGUCGCUAUGGGAUGGCCCCGCGGUGCAUUAGCUAGUUGGUAAGGUAAAGGCUUACCAAGGCGAUGAUGCAUAGCCGAGUUGAGAGACUGAUCGGCCACAUUGGGACUGAGACACGGCCCAAACUCCUACGGGAGGCAGCAGCC
rnacentral:rRNA from 1 species